UACGGGGGGGGCAAGCGUUGUUCGGAAUUACUGGGCGUAAAGGGCGUGUAGGCGGCCAACUAAGUCCGACGUGAAAGCCCCGGGCUUAACCUGGGAAUGGCAUUUGAGACUGCAUAGCUAGGGUGCGGAAGAGGGAAGCGGAAUUUCCGGUGUAGCGGUGAAAUGCGUAGAUAUCGGAAGGAACACCAGUGGCGAAAGCGGCUUCCUGGUCCAGCACCGACGUUCAGGCACGAAAGCGUGGGGAGCAAACAGG
rnacentral:rRNA from 1 species